rnacentral:misc_RNA from 1 species
AACGCACAUUGCGCCCCCUGGUAUUCCGGCGGGCACGUCUGUGUGAACGUCAUUUCACCACUCAAGCCUUGCUUGGUGAUGGAGACCGUCUCCUGACGGCCUCCGCAAUCUGUCGGCGUGGAACCGUACGUCAGCGUAGUGAGCACUAACGCUUUGCACGUUUCGGGGUCCUCUGCCCAACGUAUUUACAGGUUUGACUUCACAUCAGACGAGGUUACCCGCUGAACUUAA